CAGGAUUCACACUUCUGUCUGGAAAAGCAUCUCCUGUACCCUUGCUUGGCUCAACAAUCCUUCUGGAUGUGGCAGGAUCCCCAGACCACGUGUGGGCACAACAGAGAAGAGGGCUGGGGCACAGACCAUUCUCCUGUGAGCCCUUACAGCUGGUUUUUGUGAGGAUUUCUCCCGAGACUCUUCUUCACCACAGUGGAGCUGCUGUGCACAGGGGUGCAGUAUUCAAGUGUUUUAUGUGGAGCAGCUCCACUUCCUCUUAGCACUGGGGGUCUGUGCUGCUGGUUUCUGACUCAGGAACAUUUGCACAGAAGCUCAGGAAGAACCACACAGGCACAGUACUAGAAAAUAUCCCAGUUUAUUGGAGCAUCUCACUUCAGAGAGUUUUACAAAACAAUGUAUUUACAGGUAAGGAAGGUACUAACUCAACUCAACUGGAGUGGGCUCUGCUGGAGCAAGGAACAGGCUACACAGGAGAGAGGAAGGAAAUCAGCACAUUCACAAGUCACAUUUUUCUUUACAAAAGUAGGAGUGUAAGGCUGGUGUGGGCACAGCUGACCCAUGUUGUCCUUGCAGGGAGCACUCCAGGACGGAUUCAGUGCAGCCUUUGUGCUCUCCACCAUCGCUUCAGGUACCUGGAGCUCAGCAGAAGCUGUAUCAGCUCAGCCCAGAGUGGAGUUAAGGCACAGUGUGGGGAUGCCAGUGGCCCUGGGGUCUCCAUCUGUGCAAGCAGCUCUUCCCAUGGCUUCCCUCAGGGUGAGUGAUGGGUUCUCUCUUUCUGGCCUCCAGCUCUGGACUCAGCCAGGCCAGAAGCUGAGUUGGACAGAGGACAGAAGGAGAAGACCACAGCAUGGGACAAGAAGGGGACCCCCCCUAAAACGAUGGUAAGACCUCCCUUCUCCACCCCUCACAACUGAACACCACAUGUGGAUGGCCAUUUGAAAACAAAUGUAGGACUUAGAAUAUAUUCUGAAAGCAUGUUUUUGAACCUGUCCAAUAAAGUUUGCCUCUAAACAAAAA